rnacentral:lncRNA from 1 species
GAUACUAAUUUUUGUCAUCUGUGAAUUGAAAGUAACCAUCAAAAGUAUACCAAAUUCAAUACACAGAAAUCAUCUCAUCAAAGACAAUGAUGGAAUGAUCAACCAAAGAAACUUAUCCAAAAGCCAUAAAAUACAUAAACCGGAUAGCAACCAGAACCAUAAACCGGAUAUUCCUAAAAUCAAAGAAACAGUUACUAACAUAAAAUUAUAAACCAACCUCAAACCUACAACCAUCUCACUAAUAUAAAAUUAUCAAACCGUCUUUGAAGCUAA